UACGGGGGAGCAAGCGUUGUUCGGAUUUACUGGGCGUAAAGGGCGCGUAGGCGGCCACCGCAAGUCGACUGUGAAAUCUCCGGGCUUAACCCGGAAAGGUCAGCCGAUACUGCGGGGCUAGAGUGCAGAAGGGGCAACUGGAAUUCUCGGUGUAGCGGUGAAAUGCGUAGAUAUCGAGAGGAACACCUGCGGCGAAGGCGGGUUGCUGGGCUGACACUGACGCUGAGGCGCGAAAGCUAGGGGAGCAAACGGG
rnacentral:rRNA from 1 species